rnacentral:rRNA from 1 species
AGAGUUUGAUCCUGGCUCAGGAUGAACGCUAGCGGCAGGCUUAAUACAUGCAAGUCGAACGGCAGCACGUGUAGCAAUACAUGGUGGCGAGUGGCGCACGGGUGCGUAACACGUAUGUAACCUACCUCUAACAGUGGCAUAACAAUGAGAAAUUAUUGCUAAUUCCGCAUGUGGUUAAUUUGAGGCAUCUUAGAUUAACUAAAGAUUUAUCGGUUAGAGCUGGGCAUGCGUCCCAUUAGCUAGUUGGUGAGGUAACGGCUCACCAAGGCAUCGAUGGGUAGGGGCUCUGAGAGGAUUGUCCCCCACACUGGUACUGAGACACGGACCAGACUCCUACGGGAGGCAGCAGUAAGGAAUAUUGGGCAAUGGACGCAAGUCUGACCCAGCCAUGCCGCGUGAAGGAAGACGGCCCUAUGGGUUGUAAACUUCUUUUCUCAGGGGGUAAACUCCGGAACGUGUUCCGGACUGAAAGUACCUGAGGAAUAAGCAUCGGCUAACUCCGUGCCAGCAGCCGCGGUAAUACGGAGGAUGCGAGCGUUAUCCGGAUUCAUUGGGUUUAAAGGGUGCGCAGGCGGAUAUAUAAGUCGGAGGUGAAAUUCUGAUGCUCAACAUCAGCCGUGCCUUCGAUACUGUAUAUCUAGAGUCAAGUUGGAGUAGGCAGAAUGUGUUGUGUAGCGGUGAAAUGCUUAGAUAUAACACAGAACACCGAUCGCGAAGGCAGCUUACUAAACUUUGACUGACGCUCAUGCACGAAAGCGUGGGGAUCAAACAGGAUUAGAUACCCUGGUAGUCG